AUGGAUUUUCGGGUGCAGAUUUUUAGAUUCCUUCUAAUCAGUGUCACAGUGUCCAAAGGAGAAAUUGUGCUUACCCAGUCUCCAACAUAUAUGACUGCAUCUAAUGGGGAGAAGGUCACCAUCACCUGCAGAGCCAGCUCAAGUAUAAGCUCGAAUUACUUGCAUUGGUACCAGCAGAAACCAGGAGCUCCCCCCAAACUCCUGAUUUAUAGCACGUCCUACCUGGCUGCUGGAGUCCAUGGUAGCUUCAUUGGCAGUGGGUCUGAGACUUCGUAUUAUCUCACAAUUAGCUGUAUGCAGGCUGAAAAUGCUGCUACUUACUACUGUCAGCAGGGGAGUAGCAGCCCACCCCCACAGUGUUACAGACUGGAACAAAAACCCUUGGUAUCCCCAGGGUCCAGAUGCUUUCUCAAAGAGAUGAAAUGUGGCCAAGGUUUUAAUUGA